rnacentral:misc_RNA from 1 species
UGUAAAUUUGAGUUUUGCUGGCUCUGCCUUGGCCCUUGGACGGAUCACGGUGAGAGAACUGGUGGCUUUUAUGCGUGCAACCGUUACGAGUCCGCAAAGCAAGAUGGAGUGUUUGAUGAAUCUGAAAAGAGGAGAGAGAUGGCCAAAAAUUCUUUAGAAAGAUAUACACAUUACUAUGAGCGAUGGGCCACCAACCAGUCGUCACGGCAAAAGGCACUUUCAGAUCUUCAGCAAAUGCAAACAGUACAUCUUGAGAAACUGAGUGACAAACAGUGUCAACCCGAAUCACAGCUCAAAUUUAUUAUAGAGGCCUGGUUGCAGAUAGUUGAGUGUAGGCGUGUGCUAAAAUGGACUUAUGCAUAUGGUUAUUACUUACCCGAGCAUGAACAUGCCAAAAGGCAGUUCUUUGAGUAUUUACAAGGUGAGGCUGAGUCUGGACUUGAACGGCUUCAUCAGUGCGCGGAGAAAGAACUCCAGGGGUAUCUUGAUGCAGAAGGUCCAUCAAGAGAAUUUAAUGAGUUCCGAACAAAGCUUGCAGGGCUUACAAGUGUAACUCGAAACUACUUUGAGAACCUGGUUCGAGCUUUAGAGAAUGGUCUCUCGGAUGUGGAUGGUCAUGGUGCUUACAGCAGGGCAGCUAGCUCGAAAAGCUUGGGAGGUGGGAGCAUCAAAGGGAAGGGCGGUAGAGGAAAGGGAGCCACAUCAAGAUCAAGCAGUUCCAGAAACAUAGAUGAUUCAGGACACUGGUCUUGUGAGUAUUGUACAUAUGCCAAUGUUAGGUCUGCUACCGCGUGCCAGAUGUGCCAGCAGCGUCGUUGAAGCCGUUCUUGAAGUUACUACUUCAGAUUGGGAAAAUCCUCACUAUCUGCUGAUUGUUAUGACUGUGGUCCAGCUCCAGACGUGUCUUCUAAGUCACGUACAUACAGGAACAAAUCGAAACCUAACAGUCGUAAUGUCUGAUGGAGACGAUAAGUUAAUGGCCAUGAGUUGGAAAGUCAAUCAUACAUCUGGAGAUGAAUAUGUACAUACUGCUUGUUGUCUGUCAUCUUUGUAACCUUAUCUGACUUGUUGCCAGAAAAAUGUUCUUUUGAAAUAUUCAACUCCCUGAUUAUACAAAGCUG